CAGUCGCCACGGUAAAACGUAGGUGGCAAGCGUUGUCCGGAAUUAUUGGGCGUAAAGGGCUCGCAGGCGGUUUCUUAAGUCUGAUGUGAAAGCCCCCGGCUCAACCGGGGAGGGUCAUUGGAAAUUGGGAAACUUGAGUGCAGAAGAGGAGAGUGGAAUUCCACGUGUAGCGGUGAAAUGCGUAGAGAUGUGGAGGAACACCAGUGGCGAAGGCGACUCUCUGGUCUGUAACUGACGCUGAGGAGCGAAAGCGUGGGGAGCGAACAGGAUUAGAUACCCGCGUAGUCCCUGUCUCUUAUAA
rnacentral:rRNA from 1 species